AUGCAAGUCGAACGGAGCUAUCUCACCGAAACGGAUUUAAGCUUGCUUAUUGAAGGAUCACCGAGAUAACUUAGUGGCGGACGGGUGAGUAACGCGUGAGGAACCUGCCUUUCAGAGGGGGACAACAGUUGGAAACGACUGCUAAUACCGCAUGACACAUCGAAGCGGCAUCGCUUUGAUGUCAAAGAUUUAUCGCUGAAAGAUGGCCUCGCGUCUGAUUAGAUAGUUGGCGGGGUAACGGCCCACCAAGUCGACGAUCAGUAGCCGGACUGAGAGGUUGAACGGCCACAUUGAGACUGAGACACGGCCCAGACUCCUACGGGAGGCAGCAGUGGGGAAUAUUGCACAAUGGGGGAAACCCUGAUGCAGCAACGCCGCGUGAGGGAAGAAGGUUUUCGGAUUGUAAACCUCUGUCCCUGGUGACGAACACAGUGACGGUAACCA
rnacentral:rRNA from 1 species